rnacentral:rRNA from 1 species
CCCUUUUCUACGGAAUAGCCUCGGGAAACUGAGAGUAAUACCGUAUACGCCCUUUGGGGGAAAGAUUUAUCGGAGAAGGAUCGGCCCGCGUUAGAUUAGAUAGUUGGUGGGGUAACGGCCUACCAAGUCUACGAUCUAUAGCUGGUUUUAGAGGAUGAUCAGCAACACUGGGACUGAGACACGGCCCAGACUCCUACGGGAGGCAGCAGUGGGGAAUCUUGGACAAUGGGCGCAAGCCUGAUCCAGCCAUGCCGCGUGAGUGAUGAAGGCCUUAGGGUCGUAAAGCUCUUUCGCCAGGGAUGAUAAUGACAGUACCUGGUAAAGAAACCCCGGCUAACUCCGUGCCAGCAGCCGCGGUAAUACGGAGGGGGUUAGCGUUGUUCGGAAUUACUGGGCGUAAAGCGUACGUAGGCGGAUUAGUCAGUCAGAGGUGAAAUCCCAGGGCUCAACCCUGGAACUGCCUUUGAUACUGCUAGUCUUGAGUUCGAGAGAGGUGAGUGGAAUUCCGAGUGUAGAGGUGAAAUUCGUAGAUAUUCGGAGGAACACCAGUGGCGAAGGCGGCUCACUGGCUCGAUACUGACGCUGAGGUGCGAAA